GUUUGAUCUCAGACUGCUGUGCUAGCAAUCAGCGAGACUCCGUGGGCGUAGGACCCUCCGAGCCAGGUGCGGGAUAUGAUCUCGUGGUGCACCGUUUUUUUAAGCCCGUCGGAAACGCGCAGUAUUCGGGUGGGAGUGACCCGAUUUUCCAGGUGCCGUCCGUCACCCGUUUCUUUGACUCAGACAGGGAACUCCCUGACCCCUUGCGCUUCCCAAGUGAGGCAAUGCCUCGCCCUGCUUGGGCUCGCGCAUGGUGCGCUCACCCACUGACCUGCACCCACUGUCUGGCACUCCCUAGUGAGAUGAACCCGGUACCUCAGAUGGAAAUGCUGAAAUCACCCGUCUUCUUCGUUGCUCACGCUGGGAGCUGUAGACAGGAGCUGUUCAUAUUCGGCCAUCUUGGCUCCUCCCCGCACCAAUAGGUGACGGAAGGUGAGGAGAGAGCACUGAGACCAAGCAAAUGGAGGCACUCAGGGAAUGAGAGGCUAAAGAUGAGAAGCAAAUGCACCAGGAGGGAGGGUGCAAGAAGACUGGGUAAUUUUGGAGUGG
rnacentral:lncRNA from 10 species